AGAUUAUAACGAUCGAGCAUCGCUCGACCAUACAUACCUGUUACGGAGACGUGGAAAUAACCAGACGGAUCCAAAGCUGAAUGUAAUCGCUACGAUUAAACUUGGAUGAACACAGAGACUGAUAUUGGAUAUCCGCUGUCAUUGGACGUAAUGAGAUGGAUUGAGGGAAACUUAGGAAAUAGUUUCGCAUCUAUUACUUCUUAAU